ensembl:lncRNA
UGACACCAUAAAUGAGUGAACCUCGCUACACACAAUUGGUAUGUGUUGGUUUGACAUGGGGCGAUGGGGCAGACUCUGCAGGUGACACUGGAGGUGGGGCUAACUGUGCAGUGACAUCAUUAAGUGGCACUGGGGGAAAAAAGGCCAUCAGAGUCCAUGGAGUCACAAAGAGUCAGACAUGACUGAGCAACUGAACAACAGCAACAGCAAGACACACUGAUGUGCCUGCAGGUGUAUCCAGGCACAGCCCUACCAAGAGAGGGAUGCUCUGCUUUCUCCCUGACAAGUUGGAGAGUAAAGAGUCCUACCUCAUGCUUUUUGGAAGCAGAGUGAGCCCAUCUUGUGUACUCUCAUCUCUGGAAGAAAG